GACGAACGCUGGCGGCGUGCUUAACACAUGCAAGUCGAACGGAAAGGCUCUCCCUUGCUGGGGUGCUCGAGUGGCGAACGGGUGAGUAACACGUGAGUAACCUGCCCUUGACUUUGGGAUAAGCCUUGGAAACUGGGGCUAAUACCGGAUAUGAUCUCCUUCCUCAUGGUGGGGGUUGGAAAGUUUAGGCGGUUAGGGAUGGACCUGCGGCUAACCGGCUUUUGGGUGGGGUGGUGGCUUACCAAGCCUUGGACGGUUACCCGGCCUGGGCGGGUGAACAGCCACAAUGGGACUGAGAUACGGCCAAGACUCCUACGGGAGGCAGCAGUGGGGAAUAUUGCACAGUGGGCGGAAGCCUGAUGCAGCGACCCCGCGUGAGGGAUGACGGCCUUCGGGUUGUAAACCGCUUUCGGCUGUGACGAAGCGUAAGUGACGGUACCGGAAAAAGAAGCACCGGCUAACUAAGUG
rnacentral:rRNA from 1 species